rnacentral:rRNA from 1 species
GACGAACGCUGGCGGCGUGCCUAAUACAUGCAAGUCGAACGAGUGGCGGAAGGGUGAGUAACACGUGGGAACCUACCCAUCAGAGGGGGAUAACUACUGGAAACGGUAGCUAAUACCGCAUACCAUCAGAUGUGCCCAGAUGGGAUUAGCUUGUUGGUGGGGUAACGGCCCACACAGGCGACGUGCCCUAGCUGGUCUGAGAGGGUGACCAGCCACACUGGAUGUGAGGAACGGUCCAGACUCCGACGGGAGGCAGCAGUGGGGAAUAUUGCACAAUGGGCGCAAGCCUGAUGCAGCCAUGCCGCGUGUAUGAAGAAGGCCUUCGGGUUGUAAAGUACUUUCAGCGGGGAGGCGUUACCCGCAGAAGAAGCACCGGCUAACUCCGUGCCAGCCGCCGCGGUAAUUC